UUGGUGACUCAUUUGGUGCUAUAAAUAGGGGAUGACAGAAGGGUUGAUCAUUCAAUUCUUACAUCUUCUAUCCACUCCUCUCCCUCUCUUACAACUCUAGGGUUUAGGACAAAGGCUUGUUCUUUUAAGACAAGCCUAAUCCUAAUAGUUCUAAGGGUUUAAGAGGUUCAAAAAAAGGUGGUCAGAUCCAGUGGAUGGUUUUGAAUGGUUCAGACUCAGGUCUGAUC
rnacentral:lncRNA from 1 species